rnacentral:rRNA from 1 species
AGCGAACGUUUGCGGCGGGCCUAACACAUGCAAGUCGAACGCACUAGCAAUAGUGAGUGGCGCACGGGUGCGUAAACACGUGGGUAAUCAACCCUUCAGCCUGGGAUAACGACUCGAAAGGGUCGCUAAUACCGGAUACGGCGCGAGAGGCUUCGGCUUCUCACGAGAAAGCCACGCAAGGGGCACUGAAGGACGAGCCUGCGGCCCAUCAGCUAGUUGGUGAGGUAAGAGCUCACCAAGGCUAAGACGGGUAGCCUGGUCUGAGAGGAUGAUCAGCCACACUGGAACUGAGACACGGUCCAGACUCCUACGGGAGGCAGCAGUGGGGAAUAUUGCGCAAUAGGC